AAUAAUUGGUGUGUAGGCGGCGAAAAGAUGACUAUCUCUGAUAACCCGAUAGCAGAAAGAGUAAAAAGUAUAACCGUCAGUUGACGGUUUAGACAAUCCAUUCGACAGCAAUUAUGUAGCAGGCGUAGAUGACGUAAAUGUUCAACAAGACACAAACGAUGACAAUGUGGUUUUUGAAAUUGAAACACUCGAAGAAAAUACAACUACGGGUUGGGAUAAUUGGACCCCUGCAAUGUUGAAUUCAAGAAAGAGUGAUGAAUUACAAGUUGAUGAAGGAGAUUCAGAUCUUACAUAUAUUGAAGUAGAGGCAGCCUUAAGAACAUCAUCGAAAGAAAAUCAAAAUCCUUCAAGUUCAGCCUUAAAAAAGAAAACUGUCAAGCGGGGAAGACAGAUGUGUAAACCUAUAAUAAGUGCAGUAAGACGUAACCAAUGCUUUUAUGAUUUAGCUCAAUCAAAAAAAGAAUUAGUUAAGUUAAUGAAAGAGGAUAUUCGUGCAAAAUCAGAAAUAGAAAUCAAAAUUUUAAACACUCAACUGGAAAAAAAACAACUUAAAGUUGAACUUCUAAGGAAGCAACUCCAACUACAUGCAGAGAAAUAGAAAAACUUUAGUACUUUUUCACUCUUGAAUUUUUAUUAUCCCAUGAAAA